UGGGGAAUAUUGCGCAAUGGGGGGAACCCUGACGCAGCCAUGCCGCGUGAAUGAAGAAGGCCUUAGGGUUGUAAAGUUCUUUCGGUAUUGAGGAAGGUUGAUGUGUUAAUAGCACAUCAAAUUGACGUUAAAUACAGAAGAAGCACUGGNUAACNNCGUGCCAGCAGCCGCGGUAAUACGGAGGGUGCGAGCGUUAAUCGGAAUAACUGGGCGUAAAGGGCACGCAGGCGGUUAUUUAAGUGAGGUGUGAAAGCCCCGGGCUUAACCUGGGAAUUGCAUUUCAGACUGGGUAACUAGAGUACUUUAGGGAGGGGUAGAAUUCCACGUGUAGCGGUGAAAUGCGUAGAGAUGUGGAGGAAUACCGAAGGCGAAGGCAGCCCCUUGGGAAUGUACUGACGCUCAUGUGCGAAAGCGUGGGGAGCAAACAGGAUUAGAUACCCUGGUAGUCCACGCUGUAAACGCUGUCGAUUUGGGGGUUGGGGUUUAACUCUGGCGCCCGUAGCUAACGUGAUAAAUCGACCGCCUGGGGAGUACGGCCGCAAGGUUA
rnacentral:rRNA from 1 species